AUGCUGCACGUGCAGACGGUGCUGUCUGCACGCACGCUUCGGGCCGUGCACGUCGCCGUUGUGUCUCGGCUAGCAGAGGCGCUCAGCCGGCUGUUUUUCCAGAGAGCGCCCUGGUGGGGCUGCAUUACCUCAGCCCCAGCGCUGUGCCAGGCUGCUUCCAAAUGUCUCACUAAUUUACUUUAAAGGUCAUUUUCUAACGCUAGUUAUUGCAUGGGAAAACUGGAAUCCUUGACUGGGUGGAACACCAGGAGUUUGUACACAUAAACAGGUCCAUCAUCUCACUGCAGCGUUUGGCCUGCUCCAUGCUUCCCGUGAGAGCUGUCUGGUGUUCAGGAAGUAUUAACACUUAAGUGCUAUGCCAACAAUCUCUUGCUGAAGGAUCUUGCUGAAGGAUCUGUGUACACCCAAGAUGCUUCCCACUAUUAAAAAGCCCUACACGCGCAGUCCAGUUAAUGACCUAUUUUUUUUUUUUAGAUGUUAUCUUCACGCAUAGUGUUCAGAGCACAUUGUGUUGUCAUUAUGGAUUACUUGCGUUGUACUAAUAGCUUAGUGCUUACACAUGUGGUGUUAUCAAUAUAUAUCCACAGACACCGUGAAAUCUAAGCUUUCAGUGAACAUGGAGAUGCAUACAUGUGUCUUUGUCUUCCAGUUUAGCUUUUCUGAGUGCAGAGAUUAAGUUCUGUAAAUUCCCCCUCAGUGUCGUGGAUCAACACACCACUCACAGCUAUGACAUGCAAGCAAUUGUAGUGCUAGAAUGCAAAUGCCUUCAUUGCAGUUGCUGUGACCAGGAGAAAGAAAAUGAGAGCCAAAUUCUGGAGCCUCAUGAUGAAACUUGACAGAUCAUGAGACAUGAGAUAGGUCAGGGUAAAAGCUGGUCAUAGAAGCUAUUGAAGUUGUUUAACAAGCUUUGUUAUGUAAAAGAAAGGGAACAAAAAUUCCAAUAAAAAAGUGGUUAAACCAUACAGCAAUAAAAAUGAGUUUACAAUAUAUGUGUACCAUACAUACUGUAUGCUUUACAUGGUGAUAUGUAGUCCACUUUUACAUGGUUCACACGUACGUAAGUUAAAUGGGCCCCUUUGGAUUUUUAAUUUUCUAGAUUUCAAGCAAAACAAAACACAUGAGAUAGCGUAAGUAAACAUUGCAAAUAUAGCAACUGUUUCAAAUCAGGGAAGCGCAGCUUUCAUACUUCUGUGGUUCAUCUACAAAAGAUACCUAUCUGAAUUUCGUAUAGCACCAGUCAAGUCCUGGCCUGCUUUCCUUAUGACAUAAUGCUAUAUGAUUUGGUGUCUGCCUUGAUGCCCAGUCUUCUGUUAUUCCUUUCCUAACAGUUUUCAACCUGUGAGUCGGCUGCAAUAAAGUUUAAAUAACAAGUGGAGGACUCAAAAAGAUGUUGCUGAUUUCUGAUGUCUUGCCAAGAACGUAGGAAGGAAAGAAGGACAGAAGAUUUAGAACAUCAUAUCCUGUUGGAUUCCUGUUUCAUAAAGCCAGUGGUUGCCCAUCUGGAAACAAUAGAGAUUCAUAAGGUGAAGAGAUCUUUGGAGACUGCCUGGAGGAGUCGAAUGAGUCACACUGACAACAUAAUUUGUUGCCAUUAGCACUGUGUUUUACAAAAGUUUUCAUUUCAUUUGUUUUGAGUGGAAAAGUGACAAUAGUAGAGCCAGUGGAAAAGGUGUAA